rnacentral:rRNA from 1 species
GUGCCAGCAGCCGCGGUAAGACGAACCGUGCGAACGUUAUUCGGAAUCACUGGGCUUAAAGCGCGUGUAGGUGGCUUGGCACGUCUCUCGCUGAAAUCCCCUGGCUCAACCAGGGAAGUGGCGGGGAUACGACCAAGCUUGAGGGGGGUAGGGGGGACGGGAACUCACGGUGGAGCGGUGAAAUGCGUUGAGAUCGUGAGGAACGCCCGCGGCGAAAGCGCGUCCCUGGACCCCACCUGACACUGAGACGCGAAAGCCAGGGGAGCGAACGGGAUUAGAAACCCCAGUAGUCC